UACGAAGGGGGCUAGCGUUGCUCGGAAUCACUGGGCGUAAAGCGCACGUAGGCGGAUCGUUAAGUCGGGGGUGAAAUCCUGGAGCUCAACUCCAGAACUGCCUCCGAUACUGGCGAUCUUGGAGUCCGGGAGAGGUGAGUGGAACUCCGAGUGUAGAGGUGAAAUUCGCAGAUAUUCGCAAGAACACCAGUGGCGAAGGCGGCUCACUGGCCCGGUACUGACGCUGAGGUGCGAAAGCGUGGGGAGCAAACAGG
rnacentral:rRNA from 1 species